GUCCUGGCCGUAAACGAUGGGUACUAGGUGUAGGAGGUAUCGACCCCUUCUGUGCCGGAGUUAACGCAAUAAGUACCCCGCCUGGGGAGUACGAUCGCAAGGUUGAAACUCAAAGGAAUUGACGGGGCCCGCACAAGCGGUGGAGUAUGUGGUUUAAUUCGACGCAACGCGAAGAACCUUACCAGGUCUUGACAUUGAUGGACGAAACAAGAGAUUGUUUUCUCCUUCGGGAGCCAGAAAACAGGUGGUGCACGGCUGUCGU
rnacentral:rRNA from 1 species